rnacentral:ncRNA from 1 species
CAGCAAUUCUCUGGAGAGUUCCCGCAUACCAGCGGGACGCCGAAGGGUUAAGGCUAUUACAGCCAAUAUCUCAGGCAAAGUGGACAGAAAGCAUAAC